CUCCAGACUCCUACGGGAGGCAGCAGUGGGGAAUAUUGCACAAUGGGGGAAACCCUGAUGCAGCGACGCCGCGUGAGCGAUGAAGUAUUUCGGUAUGUAAAGCUCUAUCAGCAGGGAAGAAGAUGACGGUACCUGACUAAGAAGCCCCGGCUAACUACGUGCCAGCAGCCGCGGUAAUACGUAGGGGGCAAGCGUUAUCCGGAUUUACUGGGUGUAAAGGGAGCGUAGACGGCGGUGCAAGCCAGAUGUGAAAGCCCGGGGCUCAACCCCGGGACUGCAUUUGGAACUGUAUGGCUGGAGUGUCGGAGAGGCAGGCGGAAUUCCUAGUGUAGCGGUGAAAUGCGUAGAUAUUAGGAGGAACACCAGUGGCGAAGGCGGCCUGCUGGACGAUGACUGACGUUGAGGCUCGAAAGCGUGGGGAGCAAACAGGAUUAGAUACCCCAGUAGA
rnacentral:rRNA from 1 species